CGAUGUUCUCCCGGUCGCUGAUGUGCUGCAGGUUGCAGCCCGUGUCCUCGCGGCUCAGGUCCGUGUCGGGCCGGUAGGACUCCAGCCGGGAGUGGGCAUUCCUCCGGAGCUUGGGGCUGGACGACACGCAGCACGAGAGGGUGUUGGUCCAAGAUGGCGGAGGAGUAGGAGACCUAAAUUUCCUCCAGUCCCAAGAAUUCAGCUAGAUGGUUAUCAAACCACUCUGAACACCUACGAACUCAAGAGGAGGUCAAAGAAAAGAAUAGCAGCAACUCUGUGAACAGAAAAGCAACUACUUUCUGGAAGAUCUUGGAGAGGCCUCAAAUGAAGCAAGUGCUUUGGAAGACCAUGCUAUCAACGCUCAGGACCACCCCACCUCCUCUCCUGGCAGCCAGACCAGUAACAGGGGUCAAACCCCAGCACAGCCCACCUGAGGAUGUCCUGGGCCUCCUGAGGGAGUAGAGGGACUAUACACCAAGGGAGCUGCAGAAUCCAACAAAUACAUGCCUGCAGGAGCUAAGAGAAUAUACAUCAAUGGCAUCCCCAGAGAGCUGGAUCAAGAGCAGCUGAACAUCAAAUUAGAAGGACAAGUAACCGUGAUAGACGCGGAAAUCCUGGUGGCACCUCCCUGAGUAUCCUCACCUGUGCUGUGCCCAGAGAAAGAUGUGUAAAGGAAAAUUGGAGACAUCUUCUUGGGAUUUUUGUUUUUUUCUAAUACCUACUAUUCACAUAUUAUAUCUUUUCCUUUCAAGCAGUAACAUUUUUUUUCUCCUAAAGAUAAAUUAAAUCUUAAGCCACCCCCCCAAAAAUUCAUAGCAUCUGAGACAAAAGAACACAGGUGUCAUGAAAACCACCACUUAGCCUGAACCAAAAUGGAAAAGGAAAAGUCCCACAUCAACAUUGUUGUCAUUGGAUGAUUCAGGAAGUCUACCACUACUGGUCAUCUGAUCUACAAAUGUGGUGGGAUUGACAAAAGAACCAUUGAAAAAUUUGAGAAGGAGUCUGCUGAGAUGGGAAAGGCUCCUUCAAGUAUGCCUGGAUCUUGGAUAACCUGAAAGCUGAGUGUGAAUGUGGUAUCACCAUUUGAUAUCUCCCUGCAGAAAUUUGAAACCAGCAAGUAUUAUGUGACCAUCAUUGAUACCACAGGACACAGAGACUUUAUAAAAAACAUGAUUACAGACACAUCUCAGGCUGACUGCACUGUCCUGAUCGUUGCCACUGGUGUUGGUGAAUUUGAAGCAGAUGUCUCCAAACAAUGGGCAGACCCAUGAGCAUGCCCUUCUGGCUUACACACUGGGUGUAAAACAACUAAUUAUCAGUGUUAACAAAAUGGAUUCCACUGAGCCACCCUAAAGCCAGAAGAGAUAUGAAGAAAUCAUUAAGGAAGUCAGCACCUACAUUAAGAAAAUUGGCUACAACCCCAACAGUAGCAUUUGUGCCAAUUUCUGUUUGGAAUGGUGACAACGUGCUGGAGCCAAGUGCUAACAUGCCUUGGUUCUAGGGAUGGAAAGUCACGAAUAAAGAUGGCAAUGCCAGUGGAACCACACUGCCUGAAGUUCUGGAUCGCAUUCUGCCACCAACUGAUCCCACUGACAAGUUCUUGUCUGCAUCUCCAGGACAUCUACAAAGUUGGUGGUGUUGGUACUUGUCCCUGUGGGCUGAGUGGAGACUGCUGUUCUUAAACCUGGCAUGGUGGCCAUCUUUGCUCCAGUCAAUGUUAAACUGAAAUAAAGUCUAUUGAAAUGCACCAUGAAGCUUUGAGUG